rnacentral:rRNA from 1 species
ACGGAAGGCAGCAGUGAGGAAUAUUGGUCAAUGGGCGGAAGCCUGAACCAGCCAAGUCGCGUGAGGGAAGACGGCCCUACGGGUUGUAAACUUCUUCUGCGCGGGGGUAAAGUCGGGGACGUGUCCCCGAUUGCAAGUACCGCGCGAAAAAGGAUCGGCUAACUCCGUGCCAGCAGCCGCGGUAAUACGGAGGAUCCGAGUGUUAUCCGGAUUUAUUGGGUUUAAAGGGUGCGCAGGCGGGAUGUCAAGUCAGUGGUGAAAUGGUGCGGCUCAACCGUAGCAUUGCCGUUGAAACUGGCGUCCUUGAGUGCGAAUGAGGUACGCGGAACGUGUCAUGUAGCGGUGAAAUGCAUAGAUAUGACACAGAACACCGAUUGCGAAGGCAGCGUACUGGGACGCGACUGACGCUGAGGCACGAAAGUGCGGGGAUCGAACAGGAUUAGAUACCCUGGUA